rnacentral:lncRNA from 1 species
CCUGAGGAGGCGCAGGCAAGCUUCCUCAGAACCAGCCAGAGUGAGAAAAACCUUCCUGGGGCCAAAGUCGCUAACACAAAGGAAUAAAACUCCCACUGGUGAUGGCGCCAGGGAGGGAAGGGUAUGACUUCACAGGACGGAUCCUUCUCCAUGGAGUCUGCUUUCAACAGCUCGUGUAAAAGGAGACAUUCUACCAGAAGUAACUCAAUCAGAUUUUGGAGCAGCAUAGAGAUCAAAGCAAACUUCUGAUGGCAUUCGGGGACAAGAAGAAACAGAGGCGUGGCGCCCCACAAACCCCCGAGGUCGUCUUUCUCACGGUUUCCAAGAGCUGUUGGCUAGGAACUGAUUGCUGCGCUCACCUGUGACCGCCCAGCUCGAGACAACAGAAUUGCUUCCUGCUGUGCCAGCCAAGAUAGCAGACCACUACCUGCUGUGUCCAUCAAGCGCUGUGCGACAGGGCAAUCUUGUGACUAUUGUGGGAGGGACAUUUCAAUCCUAUGUGA